AUUGAAGCGUUGAACAGGUGAGAGGAGGCAGCAGCUAUCGCUAACACAAAAGAACCGGUGCCUGUGUCCUGCUUUCCUUCCCCACCCGCCCCGUGCCACCGAAGCAGGAGCAGCAGCAGCAUCACCGAUGGCGUCGGCCGAGGGCGAGAAGAAGAUGAUCACUCUCAAGAGCUCCGACGGUGAGGAGUUUGAGGUGGAGGAGGCGGUGGCUAUGGAGUCGCAAACCAUCCGCCACAUGAUCGAGGACGACUGCGCUGACAGCGGCCAACCAAAAUUCUUCGGUUCAAGUGUGGGUGUUCUGGUACAGAAUAUCAAGUCUAAUUCCUCGUCUCGUUCCAUCUCUCUCCCUCCUCCCCCCUCCCUCUCUACACCCUAGUGCCUCGACCUGAGCGAUCCUGAGAAGGUCUCCGUGCGCUAGGUGGUGGCCGAAGAUUUGGAUUAGGAUGCGGAGGAGAAGAUGGGGCGCAUCUUCGUGGGCGGGCUGUUGUGGAACACCACGGAGCACACGCUCAAGCGCACCUUCGGCCAGUACGGCAAGGUCAUCGAGGCGUAGGUAUAACAACACUUCUGCCCUACGGUGAUGCGUGUGAUUUGGUGGGGAGUGAAGGUGUUUUAGUUGUGAUCCGUUGUUUCAGUAUGGUUAGCAUGUAGACGGAUGUGGUAUAUAAUUUCUCUGCAGAAAUUGUUAUGCUUUAGUUAAAUAAGGUUGUUCUGUUGAGAUGAUUAGUAGUAAAUGAAUCUUUUUUGUUCUCCCCUGCUGCAUGAUGGUGAAACUGCUCCUGAUUUUUGUAACUUGUUUUGUUUUAUAGAAUUUUAUUGAUUUACCAGUUGUCUCAAUGGAUAAUACAUACAUGGUCCAGUUACAGUAGUGCUUAGGGAUGAGUCGUAUCUUGUUUACAAUUCAUGUGUUGUUGGAUGGAAGCAGAUAAUUGAAAAGGUCACCGUCACCAUUCUGAUUA